rnacentral:misc_RNA from 1 species
GAUGAAGAACGCAGCGAAAUGCGAUAAGUAGUGUGAAUUGCAGAAUUCAGUGAAUCAUCGAAUCUUUGAACGCACAUUGCGCCCCUUGGUAUUCCAUGGGGCAUGCCUGUUCGAGCGUCAUUUGUACCUUCAAGCUCUGCUUGGUGUUGGGUGUUUGUCUCGCCUCUGCGUGUAGACUCGCCUCAAAACAAUUGGCAGCCGGCGUAUUGAUUUCGGAGCACAGUACAUCUCGCGCUUUGCACUCAUAACGACGACGUCCAAAAGUACAUUUUUACACUCUUGACCUCGGAUCAGGUAGGGAUACCCGCUGAACUUAAGCAUAUCAAUAAGCGGAGGA